rnacentral:tRNA from 1 species
GCUGGUUUGGCUCAGUGGAUAGAGCAUCAGCCUGCGGACUGGAGGGUCCCGGAUUCGAUUCCGGUCAAGGGCA